rnacentral:tRNA from 1 species
UUCCUGGUGAUCCAGUAGUUAGGACUCCAUGCUUUCACCGUAGUGGGCCUUGGUUCCAUUCCUGGUCAGGAAA